rnacentral:rRNA from 1 species
CCUUCACGAUGACAUGUUAUGUAAAAUGACUCUCGGCAACGGAUAUCUCGGCUCUUGCAUCGAUGAAGAACGUAGCGAAAUGCGAUACUUGGUGUGAAUUGCAGAAUCCCGUGAACCAUCGAGUCUUUGAACGCAAGUUGCGCCCAAAGCCAUUAGGCUGAGGGCACG